GGGUUAAGUCCCGCAACGAGCGCAACCCUUAUCCUUUGUUGCCAGCACGUAAUGGUGGGAACUCAAGGGAGACUGCCGGUGACAAACCGGAGGAAGGUGGGGAUGACGUCAAGUCAUCAUGGCCCUUACGAGUAGGGCUACACACGUGCUACAAUGGCAGAUACAAAGUGAAGCGAACUCGCGAGAGCCAGCGGACCACAUAAAGUCUGUCGUAGUCCGGAUUGGAGUCUGCAACUCGACUCCAUGAAGUCGGAAUCGCUAGUAAUCGUAGAUCAGAAUGCUACGGUGAAUACGUUCCCGGGCCUUGUACAC
rnacentral:rRNA from 1 species